CCUACGGGAGGCAGCAGUGGGGAAUAUUGCACAAUGGGGGAAACCCUGAUGCAGCGACGCCGCGUGAGUGAAGAAGUAUUUCGGUAUGUAAAGCUCUAUCAGCAGGGAAGAAAAUGACGGUACCUGAGUAAGAAGCCCCGGCUAACUACGUGCCAGCAGCCGCCGUAAUACGUAGGGGGCAAGCGUUAUCCGGAUUUACUGGGUGUAAAGGGAGCGUAGACGGUAGUGCAAGUCUGAAGUGAAAGGCCGCGGCUCAACCGCGGGACUGCUGUUGAAACUGUACGACUUGAGUGCAGGAGAGGUAAGCGGAAUUCCUAGUGUAGCGGUGAAAUGCGUAGAUAUUAUGAGGAACACCAGUGGCGAAGGCGAGUUACUGGACUGUAACUGACGUUGAGGCUCGAAAGCGUGGGGAGCAAACAGGAUUAGAUACCCGUGUAGUC
rnacentral:rRNA from 1 species